rnacentral:rRNA from 1 species
AGAGUUUGAUCAUGGCUCAGAUUGAACGCUGGCGGCAUGCUUAAUACAUGCAAGUCGAACGGUAACAGGUCCUUCGGGAUGCUGACGAGUGGCGGACGGGUGAGUAAUGCAUAGGAAUCUGCCCAGUAGUAGGGGACGACCUGAGGAAACUCAGGCUAAUACCGUAUAAGUCCUACGGGAGAAAGGGGGCCUCUUCUUGAAAGCUCUCGCUAUUGGAUGAGCCUAUGUCGGAUUAGCUUGUUGGUGGGGUAACGGCCUACCAAGGCGACGAUCCGUAGCUGGUCUGAGAGGACGAUCAGCCACACUGGGACUGAGACACGGCCCAGACUCCUACGGGAGGCAGCAGUAGGGAAUAUUGGACAAUGGGCGAAAGCCUGAUCCAGCAAUGCCGCGUGUGUGAAGAAGGCCUGCGGGUUGUAAAGCACUUUCAGUUGGGAAGAAAAUCUUUAGGUUAAUAUCCUAAAGUCUUGACGUUACCAACAGAAGAAGCACCGGCUAACUCUGUGCCAGCAGCCGCGGUAAUACAGAGGGUGCGAGCGUUAAUCGGAAUUACUGGGCGUAAAGCGUGCGUAGGCGGUUAAGUCAGUCGGAUGUGAAAGCCCAAGGCUUAACCUUGGAACGGCAUUCGAUACUGCUUAGCUAGAGUACAGUAGAGGGAAGC